rnacentral:rRNA from 1 species
CCCUUAGAUGUCCUGGGCUGCACGCGCGCUACACUGAUGUGUCCAGUAAGCACCUAACCUCUUCCGAAAGGAACGGGUAACCUUUGCAAAGCACAUCGUGAUGGGGAUAGAUUAUUGCAAUUAUUAGUCUUGAACGAGGAAUUCCUAGUAAGCACAAGUCAUCAGCUUGUGUUGAUUACGUCCCUGCCCUUUGUACACACCGCCCGUCGCUCCUACCGAUUGAAUGUUCCGGUGAGCUCUUCGGACUGCGCGGUCUGCAGUUUCUGCGUUCCGUGCGGAAAGUUGCGCAAACCUUAAAAUUUAGAGGAAGGAGAAGUCGUAACA